rnacentral:rRNA from 1 species
GAGUUUGAUCAUGGCUCAGAAUCAACGCUGGCGGCGCGCUUAACACAUGCAAGUCGGACGAGAAAGUGGAGCAAUCCAUGAGUACAGUGGCGUACGGGUGAGUAACACGUGGGUAAUCUGCCUUUUAGUGGGGAAUAACCCUGGGAAACCGGGGCUAAUACCGCAUAAUCUCGAGAGAGGAAAGUCGCAAGACGCUGAAAGAGGAGCCCGCGGCCGAUUAGCUAGUUGGUGGGGUAAAGGCCCACCAAGGCAGAGAUCGGUAGCCGGCCUGAGAGGGCACACGGCCACACUGGCACUGAAACACGGGCCAGACUCCUACGGGAGGCAGCAGUGGGGAAUCUUGCACAAUGGGGGAAACCCUGAUGCAGCGACGCCGCGUGAGCGAUGAAGCCCUUCGGGGUGUAAAGCUCUUUCGGCAGGGAAGAUGAUGACGGUACCUGCAGAAGCAGCUGCGGCUAACUACGUGCCAGCAGCCGCGGUAAUACGUAGGCAGCGAGCGUUGUUCGGAGUUACUGGGCGUAAAGGGUGUGUAGGCGGUUCUUUAAGUUUGGUGUGAAAUCUCCCGGCUUAACCGGGAGGGUGCGCCGAAUACUGAGGGACUCGAGUGCGGGAGAGGAAAGUGGAAUUCCUGGUGUAGCGGUGAAAUGCGUAGAUAUCAGGAGGAACACCGGUGGUGUAGACGGCUUUCUGGACCGUAACUGACGCUGAGACACGAAAGCGUGGGUAGCAAACAGGAUUAGAUACCCUGGUAGUCCACGCCCUAAACGAUGCAUAUUUGGUGUGGGUCAUUCAGUUGAUCCGUGCCGGAGCUAACGCGUUAAAUAUGCCGCCUGGGGAGUACAGUCGCAAGGCUGAAACUCAAAGGAAUUGACGGGGGCCCGCACAAGCGGUGGAGCAUGUGGUUCAAUUCGACGCAACGCGAAGAACCUUACCUGGGCUCGAACGGGUAGUCAACGGCGGUGGAAACAUCGCUACCCCGCAAGGGGGUCUAUUCGAGGUGCUGCA